rnacentral:lncRNA from 1 species
UUUCCAUCCUGUCUCCAUUCUUCCGUAGGGGGAUAUUCAAGCCAGGAUGGCCAGGAGCUAUGCGUUCAUUUCUCCAAACAAAGCGUCUCCAGCCAACGCGCUGCCGUAGUGCAAGUAUUUGGAUGAUACCCAAGCUUCUGUGAGAUGAGUCCCGACAAGUGGGAUGCCAAACGUAUGCUGCAACUGCUGGCUGCUCACUGCAGUGCCACGGCAUCAUGCAAAACUGUUGAGAGCACAUCACACCAGCUGCACUUUUUCCCCUGAAGGAAGGAAGACUCCUUGAUGGGCCUGGAGGCAGUCUGCAUGCUGUUUCUUUAAUCUGACUCUCCUGUCAAAGGGACUGCAUCUGGGGCCAGGAUAUUUUCCAGGUGAGGCACAAACUCCAGCAGUACUCUGACUUUCUCCCAGGAAGAGAAAUCUUAAAGGACUUCAGGAUUAGAGAAGCCUUAGCUUUUGCCAUCCGGACACAGGCAGUUUCACGACAUGACUUUAGUGCUGUUGCUGCAGGACUCCCAGCAGCUCUGAUACCAUUUCAGUGGCACGUCUCAGCCUGAAAUACUUCACUGCCAGCGCUCCCUGUGCAAGUCUGGGCUGGAUUCAGAGGACGCCUCUUUGGAAGCUGCUGACAGAUGCUCCCCGUCCUCCCCAAUGAGGGUUGCAGGCUUCCAGGUACUGCCACCUGUAAGAGGACAGGUCUAUAGCAAAGGAGAUGUCCUGUCCCACUCCCC